CCUUUGCAGUCUCCGCGUUGCGAUGGAUCCUUGGAUCCACUUUUGUUAACUCUUAAACUUUGUGUCUUUAUUUCUUUUCUCAUUCCCUCAUCUCUGCCAGGAAGGGGAGAACCUGCAGGUGGUGUAGCGGGCUGGUUCCCCUACAUCUCUGGUGCCCAACGUGGUCUCCUUGAACCCAGGUAAAGUUACGCCUGAGUGUGGUCAUUGCGAAGAACGGUCUGUCCAGGGACUCCCGAGAACGUGUGGUCGGCCUUGCAGUAAGCUUGUGCGCUCGGAGCAUUCCAGCGACACCAUGGGACAAUCAAAAAGUAAACCUUCUGCUGAUUUACACUUUAUGAAGUUCCUCUUAAAGAGCGCGGGAAUGAAGGCUAGCACAGAAACUUCGAUUACUCUGUUUCAAACAGUAGAGUAAUAUUGUCCUUGGUUUCCUGAACAUGGUACCAUGGACUUAAAAGAUUGGGAACAGGUGGGAAUUGCCUUAAAACAAGUGUGUAAGGAAGGAAAACGUAUCCCUCUAACAGUCUGGUCAAACUGGGCUAUAGUUAAAGCAGCCUUGGAACCGUUUCCAUCGGAAAAUGAGGCUUAUCCUCCAGCAGAAGAAUUUCUUCUGAGGAAGGAGGUGCUGCUGCCAAUAUAGAUACAAAGGAAUUUGAGGGAGGAGAGGAUAGUGAAGAAGAUUUUGAGGAAAAUCAGACAAACCUGGAGAUGACUUAAUUUCUUUUGAGGAGCCUGUGAGACCUUCAGCUGCUCCUAAAAGAGAGAAGCCGUAUAUGCCAAUAUGUUUAGAACAAAGAAGGGCCUUGUGGAGCCCUCGGCCCCUCAUUGGGAUCAUCCCGAGUGACCGCCUCCAAUAAAGCAAUGUAGUUCGGAGCCUUGGGGGUUUGAAUCUCAAAUUUGCCCUGUUUCCCCAAUGAAUGAAUUGUGGUCUCAGGAACCAAGAGUACGUGGUGCAGCACCAGUUACAACAUAAGGCUGCACUGCCAUCUAAUGUUAAUGAAUCGCCAUUACAGGUGACUGCUCGGCAGGCUAGAUUAGCUGGAGAUCUUGAUGCCUGGCAGUUUCCAGCAGUUUUGCAACCCCCACGACAGCAAGGUGGAGCCCAUCAGGCGGUAUGGGAACCAUUUUCUUUUAAGCUGCUCGAAGAUCUUAAAGCAGCUGUUGGUCAGUAUGGUCCCAAUUCGCCUUUCGUCCGAUCGCUAAUUGCAAUCUGUGGCUCAGAAUAAGUGAUUGACUCCGUGUGAUUGCGAGAUUUUAACGAAAGUUACACUUUCGCCCUCCCAAUUUCUUCAGUUUAAGGCUUGGGGGACCGAUGAGGCUCAAAAUCAGGAUGGAAAAAACCGUGCUGCUAAUCCUGCUAUUGCCAUUACAUUUGAACAGCUUCUAGGAAUAGGGGCUCAAUGGGGAGCUAACUGUACAACAACAAUUAGGACUUCAAGAAGAUGCCAUUGAACACAUUCGCAAUUGCUGUUUAAGGGCAUGGGAAAAAAUUCAGGAUCCAGGAACUACUUACCCCUCUUUUAAUUCUAUUAGACAAGGCUCAAAGGAACCAUAUCGUGAUUUCAUUGCUCACCUUCAAGAUGCAGCUCAGAAGGCUCUUGCUGAUGAAAGUGCCAGGAAGGCCAGGUGCGGUGGUUCAUGCCUGUAAUCCCAGCACUUUGGGAGGCAGAGGCAGAUGGAUCAUGAGGUCAGGAGUUCAAGACCAGCCUGACCAACAUGGUGAAACCCCAUCUCUACUAAAAAUACAAAAAUUAGCCGGGCAUGGUGGCGCACACCUGUAAUCCCAGCUACUCAGGAGGCUGAGGCAGAAAAAUCGCUUGAACCCAGGAGGCGGAGCUUGCAGUGAGCUGAGAUCCGGCCACUGCACUCCAGCCUGGGCGACAGAGCGAGACUCCGUCUC